GAUGAAGAACGUAGCGAAAUGCGAUAAGUAGUGUGAAUUGCAGAAUUCAGUGAAUCAUCGAAUCUUUGAACGCACAUUGCGCCCCUUGGUAUCCCGAGGGGCAUGCCUGUUCGAGCGUCAUUUCACCACUCAAGCCUGGCUUGGUGUUGGGCGACGUCCCCUUUGGGGACGCGCCUCGAAACGCUCGGCGGCGUGGAACCGGCUUUAAGCGUAGCAGAAUCUUUCGCUUUGGAAGUCGGGGCCCCGUCUGCCGGAAGACCUACUCGCAAGGUUGACCUCGGAUCAGGCAGGGAUACCCGCUGAACUUAAGCAUAUCAAUAAGCGGAGGA
rnacentral:misc_RNA from 1 species